AAUGGACUUGUAUGAAACUGUGAUUCCACGUCAUUUUUAUCCCUUUCCUUUAGGAGAAUGACAAAUCAGAUUUUUCCUACUGAAAAUAUCUAAAUCCAAUUAAAAAUGCUAUAAUCAGGAAGAAAAAUUUGAUUUGUCAUUCUCCUAAUAAAAUGGAAUAGGAACAACGUGGAAUCACAAUUUCAUACAAUCCUUU
rnacentral:pre_miRNA from 1 species